CCGUCUCAUUGUAAGUAAUAUCUUUGGGUUUUAAACUGUUGGUCGGACAAAACCAGAUGUUUGUCAUCUUGUACUCUUGGAAAUUGUGGUGAACAUUUCAGUUUUUUCUAGUCUCUUAAUUGAAAAAACAAGACUAAAAGGUGUGUUCAGACAGAAUGUGAAGCUGAUUUUACAGGCGCCGCAAUUGCAUACAAAGUCAAAGGAAAGACAAUUGGGUGCGAUUAGACUCAAAUUUUCCCCAGGCGGCGCAACUUGAAAAUGUUUCUACUUGAUCUAAAUCAUUUGCGCUUUAUUAAUCGGUUUCAUAUCAUACAGAGAUGAGAGGUAAAAGGAGAGAGACUGGAGUUUGUGUUCAGUAAGAGGCUGAGCUGCACACGAACACAGACACGGUUGGUGCGUCCAUUGCUAGCUAGCUUACAGCUAACAUCUGUAGAGUUGAUACAUUUGCUGUUUGGUGCAAAUCAACACGGACUGCACAAAUGGUCCAACAGUCAAAUUCUUGACGCCACACCACUACACCACAGGACAGGUCAAGCUGACAGGGUUUUCAGGGCUCAGUGUUUUUCUUAAUAAAACAUCACAUUUAGUUUGGUGACAGUGACAGCUGUUAAAGCCAAAGACUAAUCACCAUCUGAUCCUGCUGCUGUUUCAUGAAAACAAAAAAACAAAAAAAUGAAGUUAUGGUCCUUUGUUGACUUUUCCUAAAUUUCUUUGCUGCCAGAACUUUUUUACUCUUUGUUUACAUCAAAACCACAGAAAUCUGCUUCAGUAUUUGAUGUUUCUGCAUCUCUCAUUGGCCUCCACAUCUGUUCUUCUCCCACUUCUGUUUUUCCUCAAGGCUGUCUAAAUAGAAGAAAUGUGUUUUGUUUACACAGCCAGCAGAUUUUUUUUACUCUCAGGUUUUCUGUGUGAACGCAGCCAUGUUGUUUAUGAUGAAGGAUCCAGUUUGUGUCUUCUCCUUCCUCUCCUUCUCUAUUUGAAUCUCCAGGCCAAAAAAAUAAGACUGUUUUUAUUCUGCUGCGUCUACCGCUGGCUCGCACUGAAAAACCCCAAAUGCUUCCUCUCUCUGUAGACCUUCACUUUAAAUAGCUUUCCUUCUCUGCUGCAGACAUUCAAGACACAAAAACAAGCCUGACCUCCUCCCUCUGCUGUCCAUGUGGCUGUCAUACAGUUUAUUGGCUUGACAGUUCAGCACAAAGCAGUGCACACAAGGUACAUACAGUAUAAUUAUACAUUCAGGCCAUUUUGAGAUUAGAAUAUCUGUGACGAGGCAACCUUUCCAAAAUGGAGAGCAAGCAGCUGUGGAGGUUACUGUUCCGGCUGUUUCUCUGCCUGCUGAGCUCCCUUCCCCCAAACACACAAAGAGCUGAGCGGCAGCGCUGGCUGCAGAGCAGGUUGGAAAUGGUUUUGCCUGAAAAGUGACGCUGUGGGGGGGGUGGGGUGAAGACCGGGACCAUGACCUCCAGUGUUGCAGGCUGGCUGUUUGCCGCCACUGCAGACCUCAUUUAAAACUGGUGGUGUUGGUUCACAUCUGACCUCGUGUCAGCUGAGACAACGCUCUGUCCAUGUUAAAGAGCUGAACGUGGCAGCUGGUUUCUGUGAAGAGGACACCGAAGAACUGAUUUCUAACGACCCAGCUUCCAGCUGCCUGUGUAAGACUUCUGCAACAAGAGUCAGCGACAACGGCUACUACACAAAGCCUGCCAGCUAACUUUAGGAAGUAACUGUAAGGAGAACAACAGACAGAGAGCGACCGGUUCCUCCAUCUGCACUGAUGGACUGCACAGCAAGGAUUUUCUUUAAUAUCGGAACCAACAUUCUUCCCUGCCUGGCUAAUCCAACAAAACCGCCAGAUAACAACGCAGCUUCAAAGCAACUUUUCUUCCUUUGCGGACUGGUAACCACUGAACCUAUAACUGGGCAUAGCAGAGUACACUGCUGAGCACAGGACUGUGUUACAUUUGUGAAUGUAUCUGUGUUGAUUUGGUUCAUUGAGUUUUAUUGUUGUGAUGUGUUUUCACUAUUAUUUUGGUAGCCACAUGCUAAGUCGAUGUUAGUGAUGUUCACACAGACACAGGGUCUUGCAUGCAACUAACUACCCUCUUUUCUAACCUGGCACAGUUUAUCCUAUAUAGUUCAAACGUACACUUCAAUUUCGCCCUUUAACAGAUCCACACUAGCAUACAUAACUAACAUACAUAGCCUUGCUGCCAUUUAUAGUUUCUUUUCUCUGUCUAACCAUGUGGCUACUGCUCAGCUGCCAUUUUGAAUGAGAUUUCUUUUGUUAGAUGCCAUUUUGGACCCAAGCAGCCAUUUUGGAUCCCACACACACCCUUUUGUUCUUGAGCUUUGUGCAUUUAGAGUUAUACUUUAUAUUGUGUGUUUUGUGUUGUUCAUCUUUUAAUAAAUGCUUGUGUAUAAUUA